GUCUAUGGCCAUACCACCCUGAGUGUGCUCAGUCUUCUCUGAUCUCGGAAGCUAAGCAGGUUGAGCCUGGUUAGUCCUUGGAUGGGAGAAGGUGUGAGAGUUUAGAAAAGGAGAAAAACAUGAAAUGUAGGUG
rnacentral:rRNA from 1 species